CCAUAAGGCUCUAUGAAAGAAACCUGAUACCAAAGAGGGUUUUUCGCAGACAAGAUGAAAGGGAGAAAUCUUGUUUAUAAAAACAUUGAUUCUGAUCAAAAGGGUUCAGAUUCAAAAAAAAAUCAAAAUCAAAAUCACAAUCAAAAUCAAAAUCAAAAUAAAACAAAGAAAGAAAAGAGAAAAAUCAAAGCAAAAGAGAAAUCAAUCAAAGUCAAAAUAAAACAUGAAAAGAGAAAAAAGAAA
rnacentral:lncRNA from 1 species